AUGGCGCUACGCUUAUUCGGCCUGGGUAUUGAACACGGAUAAAAAGGCGCAGGCGACUGCGCUUUUUUU
rnacentral:ncRNA from 26 species